rnacentral:lncRNA from 1 species
GGGAAGCUGCCCUUGGGGGCAGCGGGAAAGAAAGAAGGCAGUAGGCGCAGGUUACAGGGGUGAUACGGGAAUAAGAGGCGAGAGAGCAGUGAGGGCAGCACGAGGUCAGAGAGAGAAGCAGCUGGCAGUUAACGUGCGGGAGAAAGCAGAAGAAACGUGGAGGUCUUGCGAGGGACAGCGCAUGAGGUGAGCACGGAGGAGUCAGAACGUGCAUGCUGAUGCUGCCCUUGGCAGCUGGCGACGCAACAGAAGCGCCAGGAGGAGAGUCCACGCGAGAAAAGGAGCGCCAGGAGGAAGAAGCUCGGAUUGGGCAGCACGUGGCAAGUCAGCAGGGAGCUGCUUUGGCAGCACGGGGUCAGUGAGGACCGAGAGACAGGGAGGUCAGAAGCGAGAGGCACGGACAGACAGCAAACUCCCUCAUCUUUCGAUUUAAUCUUUCCAAACUUCUCUCGGUUAAAUCUCUCCAUACUUAUAUUUUACUGUUGGUUUUAUUUUAAUAAUGUGUAACUAAUUUUAUUUUAGCUAGAGGUUAAUUCGAAAACCAUGAAUAUAUUUGUAAUAUGAAUUGAUUACCUUCGGUUGUGAUUUCAUAAGUUGUGAUUUCAAUUUACUUAUCCGUUCGUAUAAAAACUGAUUUUGUGUAUGUUGGUUGAGAGUGCACGCUUAAUUUACAUGCAUGAAUUUGAUGCUAGAAUAUAAGUGAAUUUCACCUAAUCGUUAUGAACUUAUUUUCACAAGUAGUAAAGGUUGCUAGUCACAAUCACGUUAAGUAAAUUCUUGGCAAGAGUAUCAUGCUUUUCAUAGUUACGAAUGCCUCGUCAAUGCUUAUAGUUUUCACAAAGUUUAAUGAUCUUUGAUUGUAUCGCUAUUGUGCUUUUCACGUAGGGGACUUUUGAAGAAUGUUUUGAAUUGUUGUAUGCGUUUUUCCGUCCAAUUCAAUAACUUAAGGAAAACUUGAAGAUUAAAAAAGUGCUGUUCACGGUUAAUCUGGAGUAUUGAAAUUCACAAUUUAUUGAAAGAACAACUGAAAAUCAAUUUAGGUUGCAUAUGUGUCAUGUGUGGAGAAGAACCCUCUAGCUAGUCCGUCAUUUAUCAUUUUACCUUAAUUUUAUGUUUUGUCAAUUCUGUAAUUUAAUUAAGUUUAAUUGACUUUUCAUCAAAACCAAACAUCUAUCCAUUAUUAAAUUAUUUUAUUUAUUUAGUUUUCUUUAUUGUUAGUCUUUUAAUUUAAUUUCCGUCCAUUUCAGUUCCUAGUGUUUAAUUUGAUUGUUUUCAUUAUUUUGAGUUAUCCUAAGUGUGUUUCGAGUUAUUAGAGUUUUUAGCCUAGUUUUGUGUCCUUGAGUCUUAUUUAAUAUUUUUAAAUUAAUUUAGAAUAGAUUAGCAAUCCCUCCUAAUCCCCGGCCUAGAACGAUACCCUACUUACAUCCAUACUACAAUUGUCAAAAAAAGAGGGUUUAAUUUGUGUGUCAAGAAAUUCUCGCACCAAAUUUUGGCGCCGUUGCCGGGGAUUAGUAACUUUGCUAAUCCUUUUAUUUUUGUUUUUGUUUAUGUUUAUAUUGGUGUUGUGUAUUUUACUUUUGAUAUUUGAUUUAUUUUUCUUUCUUUGAUUUUAGGCACAAAUGGAGCUGAGGGAAAUUUAAAGGAAAGAUGCGUCCGGCUAAAGACGUUAAAUCAAGCGCUUCUUGGGAGGCAACCCAAGCAUUCAACGAAAGGGAGACUUUGGAAUCGCUAACCCAAUCAGCUUUGCAUUCUUCCACCCUUAUCUUUACUGCUUUCAUUUUGUUUUGUUUAGUUAGUUGUGUUAUUUGGUUGAUUUCUGUGAAGUUUGUAUUAUUUAGUUUAAGUGUGGGGGAAGGUUAACUAAAGUCUCUUUACAUUAAUUUACAUAUAUAAAAAAAAAAAAAAAAAAAAAAAAAAAAGAUAAAAUUUAAAAUUAAUGAUAAAAAAAAAAAAAACACAAUUAAAAAAAAAAAAAAAAAAAAUAAAAUUAAAAAAAAAAAAAAAAAAAUUAAAAUUAUUUUACAAUGAUGUAAACUAAUAGUAUUCAUUGGUCGGGUGGUGCUUCAGUAGUAGGCGGGGCUUUAGCAGUCGGCGGGGCCACAGAAGUAGGAGGCGGCAGAGGUUGAUCAGUUGGAGCUUCACUACGCGGUGCCGCUCCAGAAGACGAAGGCAGAUGUUGUUGGAACAAACCCACAAACCUCCGAUGAUCAAGUAAAAUUUGACCAUCGGUGUCCUGCAUCUGGUCAAUCUUCCUCUUCAUGCUGGUGGCAUAGCUGUGUGCGAGCUUGUGCAAUUCCUUAUUCUCAUGCUUGAGCCCUUUAAUCUCUUGCUUGAGACUCUGUAUUUCAGCCACCAAGGAUUCAACGUGACGGGUUCGGGCAUAUAGGCGUUGGGCCAUGUUGGAUACGGAACCCGCACACUGCACGCUAAGAGCCAGAGACUCCUUAACCGCCAAUUCAUCAGACCGUCUAGCGAGCAGUCUGUUAUCUCUGGGGGUGACAAGGUUUCGGGCCACCACCGCAGCGGUCAUGUCAUUUUUCAUCAUCGAAUCCCCCACGGUAAGGGGACCAGUGGGGGAUAUGAAAGAAGGGCGCCAUAUGUUGUCUGGUGAAGGAGGAGCUGCCUCUUCACGAAUGUUCAAGUCAAAACGUCGAUCAGAAGGGCCUGCCAUUUUCUGAAGAUGUUGAGAAUGAAGAGAGUUGGACUGAUCAAGAUUAAACAAGUGCAAGAAGGGAGUGUUUACAGGAGGGAGCUCAAGUGUGUUGUGGAACAAGCUUAACGUCUCUAUAAAAAGGAAGAAAUCAAAGAGGCGCUCCUCAGAGAAGCGUCCUCUCGCAAAAUCGAAGAGUCGGGGCUCCGUUCUCAAACGUCUGAUUCUUUUCUCAAAAGAGGAGUUUCCUUUCUCAAAAGCCGGAUUCUUUUCUCAAAAGAGGCGUUUCAUUUCUUAAAGGCUGGGCUUGCUCAGAAACCACGAGCCGAACCCCGGAUUUCAAAAGAUCAAUUUGUCCAGACGUGUCGUCACUUGUCACACGCAAAUUGCUUUGCGGAAAUCUCGGGCAAUUUGUCGAAGCACCAAUUCAGAAAUCGAAGAGGGAAAUUCAACAGUCAAAGACACGCUAGCUUUCUCAAAAGCUGGGCUUCAACCCACGGGAUUUUCUUUUUCCAGAUUUAUCCGCACGUGUCACAUGCUACCUCUACAAUCGACGAUGCUCAGAGCUCGAAGCGCCGAUUACAGAUAUCAAUGAGGAAUCAGCUUUGCGGAAAUUACGGGCAGCUUUGUCAGAAAGCGCGUAAUUUGUAUUCUUCACCCAUCCACCGGCUGCCGACACUAAGUGAGAGAACAGUUCCGGUUGUGAAGACAAGUCCUAUAAGUUUCUACCUUCGCCUUCCACAGCAAAAGCACACUCUCUCAGCACACCCUCUCAACACCUCUUCAUCUCCGAAAAUGCAUUCCCAAAGAAUCCUCUCGAGUCACUCUGUGUUCCUCAUUCCUUGGGAUACUCCUGCGAACAAACCCAUUCAAAGCAAAAGUAUUUCAUAUCAUAAAGGUUGAAAGCAAGAGUAUCUCAUAUCAUGCUUUCUCCAUGUCCUUCUCCUUGUCUUUGUUUUCCGACAAGGAGAAAGAGAGCAAUCAGCCAGCAUUUGGUAUCAAUCUUCCGAUCUGGAGCCAACUGCCUGGAACCCCUUCCUGAUUGCUUACCUAGCCUUGCUCUCGAGUACUCAUCUUCAUCAUUUUAUGCUUUCUCUUCGUCUACCACAUCUGCCUGGGGGACAGUAAGGGAAGUGAAAAUGAUACCUCGAAGCAUGUGGAGACAAUUCAGCUAGGGACAAGGAGAAAGAAAGCAAGAGGUGGGCACUUGGAAAGAUUGAAGAAAGAAAUAAGGACCAACACCUUUCCCUCGUGCCUGCCCGUUGUGCAGAAGAAACAAGCAGAGAAGAAUGCAGCUUGCACAAUCAUCCCAGCGGAAGGAGUCCGAACUGAGGAACUAGAGAAGCUGCCACAUCUGCUUGGAGAACAAAUAAGGAACUGCAACAUAACCAAAGAGCAAAGCUUCGCCGUACAAUAUCAUAAAAUCAUCACUUGCAAGUGAAAAGCUAAGUGUCACCCUGUUCAAGAGGAAAGCUGCUGUGGAAAGUCAACAAGCACGACCAAUGAUUACUUAUUAGUUUUAUUCAUUAUCUUUUAUCGUAAUUUUCAAUUUUUCGUUUGCAAUUUUUUUUUUAAUUAAUUUUCUUGCGUACUUAACUGAAUUAUUUCUUUUCUUUGCAGGAACUUUUGGUUAUUUCCACCCUUGAAGUUGAUUGCAGAAUUUUAGCUUGGGGGUCAUCGCUUGAUUUUACUGCAAAUUAGGGAAGUUUUCAGUCCAAUUGCUUUAUUUUGUUUCUUAUUAUUUAUUUAUUUUAUUUUAUUUUUUUUUUUAUUUGCAUUAUAGUGUUUUCUGACAUUGGGGACAAUGUCAAGUUUAAGUGUGGGGGUAGAAAUCUCUAGAAUUUCAUUUGUUUCUGUUGUUGUGUUUCUGUGUUGUUGCUUUUUUGUUUUCUUUAAAAAAAAAAAAAAAAAAAAAAAAAAUCGGAAAAUUUAAAAAAUAAAAUAUUGUCUUGUUUCCCUUAUUGUUUUGAAUUAGAUUUUUGUUAGUUUCCCGACCCAAUGAUAUAAUUGGAUCAAAAAUUUGAACCAUGAUCAUCAAGAACUUAGUUAACAUGUGUUUUGUGAAAUUCCUAAUUCUCUUGUUAGUUUUGUACAUGUUUGAUCAUCUUUGAAAAAACCAAAUGCACAUAGCCUUGUUAAUGUGAAACUAAAGCAUGACUUAAAGCUUCAUAUGUGAAUUUAGUGACCAUAUACAUCCUAUGUGAGUUUUUGAGCCUAUUGAAAGUGUGUGCAUUUUUCAUACACUCCUAUUCUUUCAUGUGUGAUGAACUUAUGUGAGAUACAUCUCUAGAACUUGCGUAACGAUCUUUCGAAAAUGUUUGUCAUUGAUUGCAUGAACUUGGAAAUGAUAGAGGCAUUAGGUUUACCACUAUGGCCCAAAUAACCAUGUUUCCCAAAGAAAAAUGAUAUCAUUAGAUUGCCAAUUUGAGCCGUGUAUGUUGAGCCUUUUAUUUCUUAUCACCAGAUAUGUCUACCCUUAUACCUGAAACAUUUUUCCUUACCCUUUCCAAGCGAGCAAUGCGAGAUUGUCUUAUGAGAAACGUUUGUGAAGUACUUUGAAGGUGUUUGGCAAAAGAAUAAGUGUGGGGGUAUUUCAUGUUUUGUAUUAAAAAAAAAAAAAAAAAAAAAAAAAAAGAGAAGAAAAGAAAAAGAAAAAGAAAGAUUGUACACAAAGAAAAUAAAAAGUUGUUCAAGUUUCAGUUUAAGGGUGUGAUUGGAGGUUUCAGAAGAAUCGUUGGAGAGCUUGAGUUCUUAUAAAUCUAGACAAAAGAAUUGCUUGCAAUGUAGCUUGGAACUUGUGUUUUCCUAUUCUUUCAUUUCAAUAACCCUAUCCCUAAGCCUCAUUACAUCCAAUAAAAGUCCUCUUGAUUUAAGUUUUUGCAAUUAUGACUGGAGAAGUGAUCUUUAUGCAAGCUUAUGGUAGAAAUUUCACAUUUGAUUCUUUGAGCGAAACACAUUAAAACUAAACACAUGUGUGAUUGAGUGCAUAUCCCGUGAGAAGGUCGCUAGUUUGCAUAUGAUGAUUUUAAAAAAUAAAAACUUGAAAUUGCAUUAGCAUGGCUAUCUCACACACUACACUUCAAGGAUGAUUUAAAGAUUACUGCUAAUAUUUGAAUAAGGAAGAUGAACUUGGAUUAUUUCCUUGAUGCUAGCUAUGGUUCUUGAUGAUUUGUUUUCUUCGAAUGAAAUUCUAUGAGGGUCACAUAGAGGGAAGCUAAUGUUUUUCUUGUUACUUUCUUGUUCUAGUUUUCUUUGUUUUGCUCGAGGACUAGCAAAAAGUUAAGUGUGGGGGUAUUUGAUCGGAUCAUAUUUAUAUAUAUUUUUUACUUCGAAUUCACUCGUCUUUUCUUAGUUAGUUCCUUAUAUUUUUGAGCUAUUUACGUUAUUUUUGUGUUUAUAGGAUUUGUUAUGCAAAGAAAAUAAAAAAUAGAACAAGUGAAAUUUUAUGUAAUAAAUUCGUCAAAACUGUCUGUGUAGAUCAGCUUUUAAAUUAAAUUAAAAAAUUAUAUAUAAUAAUGAUAAAGUCAUGAUGAUGUUUGAAACAUCAUCAUGAUGGUUUUUGUUUUGUAGAAAAAAAAAAGAAAAGAAAACGGUGGAAAGAAAGAGUUGGACAAAGAAAGGAAAAGAAUCCAAGGCAAAAGAGGAGUAGAUGCGGGGAGUGUGAAGCAAGACAGGAAAAAGAAUAGAAUAAGAGUCCAGGUGGCGCAAAGAAUAGAGGGGGGACGGACAGUCCACACGGGAAGCUGCCCUUGGGGGCAGCGGGAAAGAAAGAAGGCAGUAGGCGCAGGUUACAGGGUGAUACGGGAAUAAGAGGCGAAGAGCAGUGAGGGCAGCACGAGGUCAGAGAGAGAAGCAGCUGGCAGUUAACGUGCGGGAGAAAGCAGAAGAAACGUGGAGGUCUUGCGAGGGACAGCGCAUGAGGUGAGCACGGAGGAGUCAGAACGUGCAUGCUGAGCUGCCCUUGGCAGCUGGGCGACGCAACAGAAGCGCCAGGAGGAGAGUCCACGCGAGAAAAGGAGCGCCAGGAGGAAGAAGCUCGGAUUGGGCAGCACGUGGCAAGUCAGCAGGGAGCUGCUUUGGCAGCACGGGGUCAGUGAGGACCGAGAGACAGGGAGGUCAGAAGCGAGAGGCAC